rnacentral:ncRNA from 1 species
CUAAGCUCGAAUGUAGUUUUAAAAUCUGGCCAAAUGCUGGAAAAUCUUGUUAAGCUUUCGAUAGUCCAAUUUAAUUGGACUAAAAAUUCGGAAGAUAGAGACAAUCAGCAGGAAAGGCCCCAUGAGAUAUAGAAUUAUCUCACGGGGAAUCCUCAGAGACUAAACGCCAGACCCCAUUAGAUAUGAAAUUAUCUAACGGGGAUGAUAUAGUCCGAUCUCCGGUGAGAGCCGGAG